AAAGGAAUAGACGGGGGCCCGCACAAGCGGUGGAGGAUGUGGUUUAAUUCGACGCAACGCGAAGAACCUUACCAAGGCUUGAACUGCAAGGUAAACUUUCCGAAAGGAAAGGUGCUUCGGCGAUCUUGUAGAGGUGCUGCAUGGCUGUCGUCAGCUCGUGUCGUGAGAUGUUGGGUUAAGUCCCGCAACGAGCGCAACCCUUGCUUCUAGUUACCAGCGCGUCAUGGCGGGGACUCUAGAGGGACUGCCGUCGCAAGGCGGAGGAAGGUGGGGAUGACGUCAAGUCCUCAUGGCCCUUAUGUCUUGGGCUACACACGUCCUACAAUGGCCGGUACAAAGGGCCGCAAACUCGCGAGAGUAAGCAAAUCCCAUAAAGCCGGUCCCAGUUCAGAUUGUAGUCUGCAACCCGACUGCAUGAAGGCGGAAUCGCUAGUAAUCGUGGAUCAGCAUGCCACGGUGAAUACGUUCCCGGGCCUUGUACACACCGCCCGU
rnacentral:rRNA from 1 species